rnacentral:misc_RNA from 1 species
AGUGUUUCGUAAACUACACGAGCAGAACAUGAUAGACAUUCGGACUGUGGAGCAACUCCCAUAAAUGGAUGGAAAAUAUUCACAUAUCAACAACUUAAAAAAUUAAACACUGCGAUGAACUUUUACACUAAUUCAAAAGAAAAGCUGAAACAGGUGACACACGUUUUCUAGUAGUCCCUCUAUCUCUCUUUUGUGGCAUUCAGCAACU